GGGGGUGUCGCAUAGUGGCCAAUUGCAAGAGGCUGUAAACCUCUCGACUUCGGUCUACGUUGGUUCGAAUCCAACCACCCCCA
rnacentral:tRNA from 2 species